rnacentral:lncRNA from 1 species
GUUUUAUUGGAACGGAAAAUUUCACACCUUUUUUUUAGCGGUGGUACUUAUUUCUUUUCUUAAAUGAAAUUUUACUUGUACCUCAAUAUAUAAAACAGAAAAAGUUAUGAAUUCCCCCCCCCCCCAGACAUUUAGUUUUUCUUUUCUUUUGUACAGCCACGUUGCUCUUUUCCAAGAACUUUGGGAUUUCCCAGGGUGCAGAUGGGACACCAUUGCUUUAGUGGUGACAUUUUAUAGGGCUUUAGCCGGAAGAGUAUGCACAACCGUCUCUCUGGUGUGAGUGCUUGGAGAAUGUUAAGAAGCAACAACAGUGCGAAUUAAACUACAGUAAAUAAACUAUACAUAAACUGUACUUGAGCACACACUCCGAUUGGGGGCACUCACUAUGUGAUGGGUUUUAUACCCAGUAUCUCAUUUAACUCUCACGAGGCCGCUACGAGGAAGGCAUGAUGGCUAUUCCAGAUUGUAGGGGAGGAAACGGGGGCCUGGAGGGACUGGGGCCUUGUUCGUGGAUACACAGCUCGGAAGUGGGGGAGCUGGGACCCCAACCCGGUUCUGUCCGGCUCGGGGCCCAUCUCCUUCACACCUGACACCAGGCCCAGGGGCUGGGCGGGCGGGCUGUCCCGGGGCUGCCUCCCUCGGUGGCAGAGGCGGCAGGACAGGCCCCGGCCCCGGCCCCAGCCCCGUCUGUCUCCCCUCCCCAGGCAGCCGCAGCUCCCGGACACCCCGCCCUACUCGGCGUCAGACUCCAGUUCUCCUCCCGACGCCAAAGAACCUCGUUUCCACCAACCAAGAAGAGAAAGUGCACAGAGGUGCUGGAGGACCCCGGGGACUGCCAGGUGUGGGCCCAGCACCAGGACCCCGGGGACUGCCAGGUGUGGGCCCAGCAUGAGGACCCCGGGGACUGCCAGGUGUGGGCCCAGCACGCCCGAGCAGGUGAGCCGACCCAGGGCCUGUCCCCGCGUUCACCCUUCAGCCAGGGGUUAGUCCCCGGGGGUUUCCUCCUCUCCUCCUAACCCCGUUACCGGUUACCAGCGGUGCUAGGUGGGGUCACGCAGGGCCUCCUGGGGAGAGAUGCCACAUUCUCUCCCUCUCCCUCUCUCUGGUGGAGGCCAAAUGACCAU